CGGAGGGAUCAUUAAAGAGUUCUAUAACUCCCAAACCCAUGUGAACAUACUUAACGUUGCCUCGGCAGGUCGCACCUACCUUGUAGCACCCUACCCUGUAGGGCCUACCCGGGAGAUGCGGGUAAGCCUGCCGGCGGCCCACCAAACUCUGUUUGAUAUUGAAUUCUGAACAUAUAACUAAAUAAGUUAAAACUUUCAACAACGGAUCUCUUGGUUCUGGCAUCGAUGAAGAACGCAGCGAAAUGCGAUAAGUAAUGUGAAUUGCAGAAUUCAGUGAAUCAUCGAAUCUUUGAACGCAUAUUGCGCCCAUUAGUAUUCUAGUGGGCAGGACCGUUCGAGCGUCAUUUCGACCCUUAAGCCUUAGUUGCUUAGUGUUGGGAGCCUACGGCAACGUAGCUCCUCAAAGUUAGUGGCGGAGUUGGUUCACACUCUAGACGUAGUAAUUUUUUAUCUCGCCUAUCAGUUGGACUGAUCCCCUGCCGUAAAACCCCCAACUUAUCAAGGUUGACCUCGAAUCGGUUCAGACAAACUCGCUAAAUUGAAGCAUCUUAGUCAGCGAAGGAAAAGAAACCAACAGGGAUUGCCCUAGUAACGGCGAGUGAAGCGGCAACAGCUCAAAUUUGAAAU
rnacentral:rRNA from 1 species